rnacentral:snRNA from 1 species
GUGCUUGCUUGGGUAGCACAUACAGUAAAAUUGGAACGAUAUAGAGAAGAUUAGUAU